rnacentral:rRNA from 1 species
UACGUAGGGUCCAAGCGUUAUCCGGAAUUACUGGGUAUAAAGGGUGCGUAGGCGGCCUUGUGCGUCGAAGGUUAAAGGCCAUGGCUCAACCAUGGGAAUGCCCUCGAUACGGCAAGGCUUGAAUAUGAGAGAGGAAGAUGGAAUUCCUGGUGUAGCAGUGAAAUGCGUAGAUAUCAGGAGGAACACCGGUGGCGAAGGCGGUCUUCUGGCUCAUUAUUGACGCUGAGGCACGAAAGUGUGGGGAGCGAACAGG